rnacentral:ncRNA from 1 species
UGCGCAGGGCGUGUUUCAGCACGAUGUUGCCAAAGCUGACACCCUUGAGCCGCGCGGUUCGGAUGUAUUGCGUGGUCAUCACCUCGGUCAUCGACGCACGGGUCAUGCGGGCGAUGUACCCCAUGCCGUAGAGCGCGAUGGUCAGAACCGGCAGGGUGAAAUUCUCGAAGGUAAUAUCC